CAGAUUCGGAUUCACCUUUCUUUUAUAGGACAUCCUUUGUUGGUGAAACGCAGGCUCUUUUAUAGAAAAUCUCAAAUCUGAUUCGUGUAUUGCUUUGAUGAGUUCAGCAUGUGAAGAUUGCCUUAACCAUCAUAUGCAAACAGCAUUACAGUAAGAAAUUAGACUUCUAAGAAAUCUCCACAUUAAUUGUGUUCACAUGUUUGGCCUAAGUAGUUAUCGGGGAUUAUCUUUACAGUUGUUUCCAAUGGCCUUAGGAAGCACUAAUGUAACCAGGAUGUUGUAUAUAGAAGCUUAGAUCAACUAAUCACAGGCUGGAAAUCCCUUCAAACGAUUUGCUGUAUCUUUUGGUUCAGUAAGCCUUAACAUUGACCCUGAUGUUAACUGAAAAGAGUUGUGGUAUAAAUUUCUUCAGCAGAUGAGCCUGACAUUUGCCUUUUGCCAUUGAGCAGGUGAUCCUCUCUAUGUUGUUGGUGGGCAACCCAAGUAUGUCAAUCCUGAACUUAUAGAUGAAAGCUUUGCUGAAGAUGGAGGAUAUCAAAGGCCCAUGCAACCUGUUCCUGGAGACUGCGGCUAUUACUUGCAUGCACAUCAGCUGGUUCUCCCUCAUCCAACCAAAAAUGAGGUAAUAUGGAUCGAUUAUUAAUCAGUAUUUCAAUAUAUUCUGGGUCCGAUAUUUUCCUUCUGUAGAUCUAGAUCAUUCAGAUCAAGUUAACAACAGACCUAAUGGGUAGAAAUACAAUUUUAUUGAUGAGAUAAGUUGUUACUUCCACCUAAUAGGAUUAGGAUACAGCAAUUAGU